rnacentral:rRNA from 1 species
UAACCUGCCCGAGAGAUCGGGAUAACACCUGAAACAGAUGCUAAUACCGGAUAACAACAGAUGAUGCCUAUCAACUGUUUAAAAGAUGGUUCUGCUAUCACUCUUGGAUGGACCUGCGGUGCAUUAGCUAGUUGGUAGGGUAACGGCCUACCAAGACGAUGAUGCAUAGCCGAGUUGAGAGACUGAUCGGCCACAUUGGGACUGAGACACGGCCCAAACUCCUACGGGAGGCAGCAGCC